CGCACAUUGCGCCCUUUGGUAUUCCGAAGGGCAUGCCUGUUCGAGCGUCAUUAUCACCCCUCAAGCCUGGCUUGGUCUUGGAUUCCAUCAUAAUAGGUGGACCUUAAAGAUAACGACGUUGGUGGUCGACUUCUCGGUGCAACGAGCCUCCUUUGGCACGUAUCGCAGAGGCUGGUUACCUCGGUCUUAACGAUAAUUCUUUUGAGAUUGACCUCGGAUCAGGUAGGAAUACCCGCUGAACUUAA
rnacentral:misc_RNA from 1 species